rnacentral:tRNA from 1 species
GCUGUGAUGGCUGAGAGGUUAAUGCUGGACUCCGAAUCCAAUGGGGUUUCCACAAGAGGUUCGAACUCCCUGCUCGCAGCU